rnacentral:rRNA from 1 species
UACGAAGGGGGCUAGCGUUGCUCGGAAUCACUGGGCGUAAAGCGCACGUAGGCGGAUUGCUAAGUCAGGGGUGAAAUCCUGGAGCUCAACUCCAGAACUGCCUUUGAUACUGUUGAUCUUGAGUCCGGGAGAGGUGAGUGGAACUGCGAGUGUAGAGGUGAAAUUCGUAGAUAUUCGCAAGAACACCAGUGGCGAAGGCGGCUCACUGGCCCGGUACUGACGCUGAGGUGCGAAAGCGUGGGGAGCAAACAGG